rnacentral:rRNA from 1 species
AUUGAACGCUGGCGGCAUGCCUAACACAUGCAAGUCGAACGGCAGCACGGGUGCUUGCACCUGGUGGCGAGUGGCGAACGGGUGAGUAAUACAUCGGAACAUGUCCUGUAGUGGGCGUUAGCCCUGAGGAAGCUGGAUUAAUACCGCUACCGAUCUACGCCUGAAAGCGGGGGACCUUCGGGCCUCGCGCUGUAGGGAUUGCAGAUGGCUGAUUAGCUAGUUGGUGGGGUAAAGGCCUAGCAAGGCGACGAUCAGUAGCUGGUCUGAGAGGACGAGCAGCCACACUGGGACUGAGACACGGCCCAGACUCCUACGGGAGGCAGCAGUGGGGAAUUUUGGACAUUGGGCGAAAGCCUGAUCCAGCAAUGUCGCGUGUGUGAAGAAGGCCUUCGGGUUGUAAAGCACUUUUGUCCGGAAAGAAAUCCUUGGCCCUAAUACGGUCGGGGGAUGACGGUACCGGAAGAAUAAGCACCGGCUAACUACGUG